rnacentral:rRNA from 1 species
UACGUAGGGUGCAAGCGUUAAUCGGAAUUACUGGGCGUAAAGCGUGCGCAGGCGGUUCUAUAAGACAGAUGUGAAAUCCCCGGGCUCAACCUGGGAACUGCAUUUGUGACUGUAGAGCUGGAGUGCGGCAGAGGGGGAUGGAAUUCCGCGUGUAGCAGUGAAAUGCGUAGAUAUGCGGAGGAACACCGAUGGCGAAGGCAAUCCCCUGGGCCUGCAUUGACGCUCAUGCACGAAAGCGUGGGGAGCAAACAGG